rnacentral:rRNA from 1 species
UACGGAGGGGGCUAGCGUUGUUCGGAAUUACUGGGCGUAAAGCGCGCGUAGGCGGACCUGCAAGUCGGGGGGUGAAAGCCCGAGGCUCAACCUCGGAACUGCCUCGAUACUGUGGGUCUCGAGUCCGGGAGAGGUGAGUGGAAUUCCUAGUGUAGAGGUGAAAUUCGUAGAUAUUAGGAAGAACACCAGUGGCGAAAGGCGGCU